rnacentral:lncRNA from 1 species
GGCUCCCCUCGGUCCUACAAGGAGCGCUGGAGGUGCUGCUCGGCCAGGAGCCUUUGCACCUCUGCUUCGCGUGGGAGGCGCCUUCAGCCUGCAGGGCAGCGAGAGGAAGGGUUUGUUCCUCCCGAGCGAGGACCCAGCUCCGGCCAGAGGGACCGGCCCCGUGCGGGAAGGAUGAAGUCAUCCCUGUGCCGCCGGCCCUAUUUGUCUGUCGCCGGCGGGGCGCAGGACGGGGCCCUAAAUACAGCUCCCCUGUCACCCGCGGGCUCGGCGAGGGGCUCACGGGGUCCCAAAAGGCAUCCGAUGGGCGUAGAGGGUCAGAGGGACUGCCCUUGGGCACGGCCCGAGCGAUCCCGCGUGCUUCUUGCCCUGGGUUUGGGCCACGGGGAGGCUAAGGGAACGCGGAGUUCAUCCCAGGCCUCCUCGCCGUGCCUCUCCUGCUCACACCCCGGCCCCUCCAUCCUGCGGGAGCCCUUCCCGGUGACUCAGCCGCCCUCUUAACUCUUGCCUCCCGGCCCCGGGUGCUUUCAGGUGCCGGCAGCCCGCGGGGCUCACGUUUUCCUCUGCCCUGCUGUGGCUGCUGCAGGGGGGGGUGCAGGAGCGCUGCCAGGCUCCCCGCCGCUGGCACCCAGCUCGCUGCCAGGCUGACGGGGCUGCGCCUUCCCCGCCUCCAGGUCUAUCUCAGGAAGGAUGUGGACGGGGAGGAUGACAAGCAGGAGGCUGCGAGCCCCCACUCCGGCGGGUUCUGCUCCCCGCUGGACAGAGGGUCCCCCUUGGAGGCGCUGGCACCCCAUAAAGACAGCCCCGGGAGCAAGGAGCCGGCGGCCCCCAGGAGCGUGGGGCGAAGCGUGCCGGGGGCACCCACCCUCCCGGACCCCAGCCCCCUGCUCGCCCAGUUCAACCGGGAGAUGCUGCAGGCGGAGGGCUGGGUGCGAGGCAAGCUGCGGGACCUGAAGGACGGCUGCGAGCUGCAGGGCUGGGAGCAGGUGGCGCAGGCCCUGCAGAGGGAGAUGAAGGACUUCGACAACACCCUCAUCAAGCUCAGCCAGAUGGGCGAGCAGCUGGCGGACAGGCCCAGCCCCGGCGGCGAGGCGGUGCGGAGGCAGCUGCAGGCGCUGCGGGAGCAGUGGCAGCUCCUGAAGCAGACGGCCGCCAGCCAGAGCAGGGCCCUGGGGGGGCUGCGCAGCCUGCAGGACUUCAGCAGGAAGGCGGAGAGCCUGGAGGCGUGGAUCCGCAGCAAGGAGGAGAAGCCCUGCCUGGCGGCACUCCUGCAGGAAAGCCCGGAGAAGAUCCAGCUCACCCGCCGCAUCCUCGACUUGAAGCAGGUGGGCACAGCUCGGCUCCAUCUCGCAGCCCGUGC